UACUCGCAACAUAAUGUUUUAUCUUGUUAAACAAGCCAAUAAAAUUAUAUUCCCCAAUCACUCCAUCACAAACCCCUCGUGUGUGUUUCCACUUGCGAUCUGAAAGAGUGUAAGAAAACAUGCAGAAGGACAUGGGAACUGCAGGAGAUCAACAUCUUCCACCACCAGGAUAUCCAGCUCCAGAAGAGGUCUCUGGACAACCAGGACAAGACAUGAAUAAGAAGAAGCCCUUCGAGACAAAGCAGAAAGGAGACAGAGGCUUCAUUGAAGGAUGUCUCUUUGCACUAUGCUGCUGCUGGAUCUGUGACAUGUGUUUCUAAGACAUAGAAGGAUGAACGUAACGUAUCUAUAACUAUUAGUGGCUUUUAAUAUAAUUACUACCGAGAGCGUUUGAAGGACUAUAUAGUAGCUCAAUCUGAACUUUCUUAUACUAUCCGUGUGGUGUUUGUAUAUAUAUUAAACGGAGAUUAUUAUUAUACUAAAUAAUGUAAAGGUCAUCACCAUAUUUUCUGAGCUGAUAUAGGAUCGGUUAGAGAAUUAAACCAACCGGAUUGAUACUGGAUUCAUGCUUGCUCUAUACAACCCGUCCGUACCGGCUUAACAUUCAAAGAAAUUCGGUAUCGUAAAAGCUUUUACAGACCAUGCCAACAUAAGUGCAAAUCAAUUAUACAAUAAAAAUGGCUGCUGCGUCAACAUCUACUACUAAAACCAAAAUUCUCCGCAUCUUCUGCUCUCCUGAAAUUGUCAGGAUC